CCCCCGUUGGACCGGCUGGCGUCCCAAGGGCACCAAUCUUGCCGCUAGGCAGGGAUGGAGUUCCAGGGACAGCGCCAAAGAAUGCCCUCGAGGCACUUCUAGGCUAUGGGCUUCAGACCUAUCAACUGUUGGAGGCUGGGUAAGGUCCAGCCUCGGUUACGACGGGUACAGAGGAUCAGGGUUCGGUCCUGGAGAGGUAGCCUGAGAGAUAGCUACUACUUCUAAGGAAGGCAGCAGGCGCGCAACGUUCCCAAUGGUUUGCCACCCAGUGGCCGAGGACGUUGAGGGACAUAACAAUGCCCUGCCUGAUAAAGGCGGGGUAAUUGUAAUGGGGACGUUUUAAACCCCCUACCGAGUAGCAAUUGGAGGACAAGUCUGGUGCCAGCACCCGCGGUAAUUCCAGCUCCAAUAGCAUCUAAUUGAGUUGUUGCAGUUAAAACGCUCGUAGUCUGAAUCGGUCGCACUGCCCCGUUGAGUAGGCCUCUUUCGGGUUGGACUGCCCGGCGCAAGCCGGCGGCCUCUCGGGAUUGGAUCCAAAGGCGGGUGUCGGAGGCGACCAUAAUGGCCAGGGACCGGCGUAUCCCGCUCGCCCUCGUGGUUUGAGCGGUGGGGCUACCCCUGGUCGUUUUACUUUGAGGAAAUGUGAGCGCUCCAAGCAGCCCCUUUUGGGGCCUGAAGCCUGCAGCAAAGAAUAAUGCAACACGGCCUAACAACCGUGGUGUAUUGGUGCACCGCACGGCAAUGGUCAAUAGGGGGGAUCGGGGUCGGCCUCAUGGCAGGGGUAGGGGUGAAAUCCGUUGAUCCUUGCCAGGAGAACAAGAGCGAAAGCAGCCGACAAGUACCCUUUCUUUGAUCAAGAACGAAAGUCUGGGGAUCGAAGAUGAUCAGAUACCAUCGUAGUCCAGACCCUAAAUGCUGCCGACCAUGGAUGGGCGCAAGUCCGUCCCGACCCUGCCCGCACCUUGUGAGAAAUCAUCAAGUGUUUGGGCUCCGGGGGGAGUAUGGUCGCAAGACUGAAACUUAAAGGAAUUGACGGAAGAGCACACAAGGAGUGGAGCCUGCGGCCUAAUUUGACACAACACGGGGAAACUCACGAGUGCAAGAGAGGGUCAUGAUGCCCGGCACGAAUUGCCUGGCAGAUUCUCUCAGUGGUGGUGCAUGGUCGUUCUUAGUUCGUGGAGUGAUUUGUCUGGUCUAUUCCGCU
rnacentral:rRNA from 1 species